UUAUGUUGGCAUACAAGAAAGAACGUUUGAUUCUUGAUAUGGGUUUUCAUUUUUAUGGUGGUAUUGGCAGGGUGAUUCUAUAAAGUGUGAUAUUUCAGUUGGUGAUGGGUGCACCACAAUGUUGACCACUCAAGCUUCAACAAAGGUCUACAAAUCUGUGGAAUCAAAGUGCUCUGAACAAGUCCCGGAG